UACGUAGGUGGCAAGCGUUGUCCGGAAUUAUUGGGCGUAAAGCGCGCGCAGGCGGUUUCUUAAGUCUGAUGUGAAAUCCCACGGCUUAACCGUGGAAGGUCAUUGGAAACUGGGAGACUUGAGUGCAGAAGAGAAGAGCGGAAUUCCACGUGUAGCGGUGAAAUGCGUAGAGAUGUGGAGGAACACCAGUGGCGAAGGCGGCUCUUUGGUCUGUAACUGACGCUGAGGCGCGAAAGCGUGGGGAGUCAAACA
rnacentral:rRNA from 1 species